GACGAACGCUGGCGGCGUGCCUAACACAUGCAAGUCGAACGAAGCAUAGCAAUAUGCUUAGUGGCGGACGGGUGAGUAACGCGUGAACAAUCUGCCCUGUACAAAGGAAUAGCCUCGGAAACCGGGAUUAAACCGUAUGACACUUUAGUAUCGCAUGAUAAGAAAGUCAAAUCGAAUAGAGGUAUGGGAUGAGUUCGCGUCUGAUUAGCUGGUUGGCGGGGUAACGGCCCACCAAGGCGACGAUCAGUAGCCGGCCUGAGAGGGUGAACGGCCACACUGGAACUGAGACACGGUCCAGACUCCUACGGGAGGCAGCAGUGGGGAAUAUUGCACAAUGGAGGGAACUCUGAUGCAGCGACGCCGCGUGAGUGAAGAAGGUCUUCGGAUCGUAAAACUCUGUCCUUGGUGAAGAAAAGGACGGUAGCCAAGGAGGAAGCCCCGGCUAACUACGUG
rnacentral:rRNA from 1 species